GAACACGCCUUGAUUAUGUUAGUGUGAUAAAUGCGCAGUAAGUAGUGGCUCUAUUUUCAUUAAAAUGUGGAAUAUUAAAUUAUAUUUGCAAUAUCAUUAUCAAUGAAUGAAGGAAUAAACAAUAUGAAUAAUUGUUUUUACGAUUUUAUUACAUCAUGCAUGUAUCGUUAUCUAUCGUGUAGUUGUGACUGUCCAAUUUUAGAUCAUGACCGUUGAUAAUACUAAAUUUCGUUUAUCCAACAUAGUCGUUAAUCCUACAUAAUCAUAUUGGAUUAACAGGACUUGACUGUAUGGUACAUUUGUGAAAAUGUGAUAUUGGGGGUCACGGUUGGCCCAGUCGCCUAAGGCGCCACAACUUCCUAUUACAUCCCUUUCCUGCCUGGAACCACUGGUCAGUGAUUGAAUCCCAGAUUCAUCCUGAAUAUGUUGAAGUUCUGUCAGAACCAGAACCAUGCUCGUGUGUUUCAAUAAAGUGGCAAACAUUGGAACCUGCACAUCUUUAAGCUUUCCUCCCACAUCAAGUUGACCACACUGAUAUGAAUGUUACCCUGUUGAAAUGGCUUUAAAGCCCAUUCAUUCACCAUGCUCCCUGUGAAUGUCUAGGGAAAUAUCUUUUAAUUUUAGGAUAAACUUUAUUUCUAUAUGUAUUUGAGUUGAUAAAUAUACAUAUUUACUGUAGGGUCUACUAUCAUGCGAUUAACCAGAUAUCUCUCUUGUAAGAUCCAACUUUCUCCAUUUUUAGAUGCCACUAACUCGGAGGUCACAAGAUAGUGACUCUGUCACACCUCAUCAAGAUGCUGUUGAGCAUUGUAUGACCAGAUGGACAAAGAAGACUUCACAGUUCGCUUUAUUAGCCAAUAUAAAGGACAAGGCGUGUUUACAACAAAACACUUCCAGAGGGGUGACUUUCUGUUGGAGUACAUAGGGCAACCCUUGUCUGCUGUUGAGGGGGAAGAGCACUUGACUUGGCCUGAUGUGGGCAGUUUCUUAUUUUUUGUGAACAUGAAUUUGUGUAUUGAUGCAACUGACAGCAGAUGCUAUGGUAAAUUCGUGAAUGACAGCAUGACAAAAAGGAGAGCCAAUGCCUUUAUGAAGCCCCUUUACCUUCGAGACAAAACACAUUUGUGUUUGUUUGCCAAGAGGGAUAUUUCACCAAACGAAGAAGUCACAUACUAUUAUGGACCCACAGAUGAACAGAUGUACUGGAGAUUGAACCCGCCGACAGACCUCCUGUUAAAAGACCACCGAUCAGUCCAGUUCAUACGUCCAUCGGUACUUCAGUAGAAACCCCCGACAGACCUCCUGUUGAAAGACCACCGAUCAGUCCAGUUCAUACGUCCAUCAGUACUUCAGUAGAAACCCCCGACAGACCUCCAGUUGAAAGACCACCAAUCAGUCCAGUUCAUACGUCCAUCAGUACUUCAGGAGAGACCCCCGACAGACCUCCUGUUGAAAGACCACCGAUCAGUCCAGUUCAUACGUCCAUCAGUACUUCAGGAGAGACCCCCGACAGACCUCCUGUUGAAAGACCACCGAUCAGUCCAGUUCAUACGUCCAUCAGUACUUCAGGAGAGACCCCCGACAGACCUCCUGUUGAAAGACCACCGAUCAGUCCAGUUCAUACGUCCAUCAGUACUUCAGGAGAGACCCCCGACAGACCUCCUGUUGAAAGACCACCGAUCAGUCCAGUUCAUACGUCCAUCAGUACUUCAGGAGAGACCCCCGACAGACCUCCAGUUGAAAGACCACCGAUCAGUCCAGUUCAUACGUCCAUCAGUACUUCAGUAGAAACCCCCGACAGACCUCCAGUUGAAAGACCACCAAUCAGUCCAGUUCAUACCUCUAUCGGUACGUCAGGAGAGACCCCCGACAGACCUCCUGUUAAAAGACCGCCGAUCAGUCCAAUUCAUCGGUACUUCAGUAGAAACCCCCGACAGAUCUCCAGCUGAAAGACCACCAAUCAGUCCAGUUCAUACCUCUAUCGGUACUUCUAUAUGCUGUUCUGCAUCACUCAACCUGCUUCAAGACGCAGCCAGACCAGGUCCUAUUGACACACGUACUGGUACAACAUGUGAAACAAGAAACGAGAAACGAGUCUAUCAAGCUGUUAGGCAUCAAAAAUGGUCAUAAGAAGAGAGAGAAGCUAUUGAAAGACAAUUGGGAAAAUUCUACUAUUUGAAAUCACUGCCAGGAAAACUUAACUGUGAAAUGGCAAGUCAAAACGAACCUGUUCUCCUGCAACGGCCUUGGAAGCAGAUUAAGUAUUACAUAAAUAAUCACAAGUAAAUGUGUCAAACUGUUUGUCCCUGACAGUUUACAUUGUAAUUAUGAAGCUCACUUUGACUCACAAAAAGGUCUUUAGCAACAGUAAUGUCAUUAUCAUUGUCUGCUUUGUGAGGUUACCGUCCUUACUUUUAGACAUCGAAGUGAGCUUGGGUUUUGUUAUGGCCCUUUGUCCGUCCAUCCGUCUGUAAACUGUUCACUAAACUUCUUCGCACUAACUACUGGGUAUAUGUUGCCGGGCAACAAUGAGUGUGGUUUUAAUUGUCUUCUCAUGUUGCAGUACAUUGUAAACUCAAUUUUCAUUGGCCAAGUUAUGUGUAACCACCAACCAAUAAAUCAUUUACAAUUACUGAAUUGUAAACAGGGGAGUACUGUUUUACAGCAAUAAAACUAUGUGUGUUCAGGUUAUGAGCAAACCCGGGCUGUUUUUGAUGAUAUUUAUUUAUUAUUUAUAUAGCUUGGACCAAAGAGUUACUUUUACCAAAUUUUAACGAAAUGUUAUAGUUAUAUUUGGGAUAUUACUUUCUCGUUAAAGGACAUAUUAUAUGACUUCUUCUGGGGUUGCAUCAAACCUGGGGAUCACACCCACAGUACUCAAUGGCAGCGAUCUGUACCACUUUGCCACGUUAAGAAGCAAGUUCAACAACUGGUAGUCUGGAACACUUAAACCAGUCUUAUAGAUGUAAUUAGCACUGAUGGGGCACGACCCCUAAACAAGUAUUAGAUCCGGUACCUUAAUCAGAAAUUGUUUUUCCCUAUUACAACAUAUAUGCUAGAAUCUCUACAGAUGUUUAUAAUAAAGUGGAAGCUUUCAAGAAAAGGACCUGGCGAGUUAGACAGGGGAUAUAGAAACAUGUUCAUUUGUCUGUCAAGUUGCUAUUGCUUUCACAGAAAUGUAAAUUUUGCAAUUCUGUAACUCUGUGCUGAAUUUGUCUGGGGCUGAACUACUGUGUGUAUCACUAUGAUCAUUUGGGUACAUGUUCUCGGUGUAACUAGCUACAGUAAAGUAGGGGGAGGUCGGGUACAUGUUCUCGGUGUAACUAGCUACAGUAAAGUAGGGGGGAGGUCCGGUACAUGUUCUCGGUGUAACUAGCUACAGUAAAGUAGGGGGAGGUCGGGUAUAUGUUCUCGGUGUAACUAGCUACAGUAAAGUAGGGGGAGGUCCGGUACAUGUUCUCGGUGUAACUAGCUACAGUAAAGUAGGGGGGAGGUCCGGUACAUGUUCUCGGUGUAAAUAGCUACAGUAAAGUAGGGGGGAGGUCCGGUACAUGUUCUCGGUGUAACUAGCUACAGUAAAGUAGGGGGAGGUCGGGUACAUGUUCUCGGUGUAACUAGCUACAGUAAAGUAGGGGGAGGUCGGGUACAUGUUCUCGGUGUAACUAGCUACAGUAAAGUAGGGGGGAGGUCCGGUACAUGUUCUCGGUGUAACUAGCUACAGUAAAGUAGGGGGCGGUCGGGUAGCCUAGUGGUUUAAGCGUUUGCUCGUCAUGCCAAAGACCCGGGUUCGAUUCCCGACAUGGGUAAAAUGUGUGAAGCCCAUUUCUGGUGUCCCCCGCUGUGAUAUUGCUGGAAUAUUGCUAAACGCGGUGUAAAACCGUAUUCACUCACUCGCUCACUACAGUAAAGUAGGGUUUUUGAUUUGAAAAAUUCAAAAUGUCCACUAUGGCAACAGUCAUAAAUAUGAAGUAUAGCCUGCAAACUCCAAAACUACUGCAUAUAUUAUGUUUUUUCAUAUUUUAGGAAUAUGUUCAUGAUCAAACUUCUGGUACAUGUAUUUUCUUUAAAAACAAUCAUAACAGAUUACGAAUAAUUGAUCAUGUUAAAAGGUCAAAGGAUAUUUCACUUCAGAUUCAGAUGUGAUUUUUGUCAGUCAUUAAUAAAUUCAAUAAAAUACAACAUAAAACAUACUGACUUGUUUAUUAAAGUUUGCGUUUCCUUCUACGAAAGAUCUUCGUAGCUUGUUUCACAAUAUUGUUGACUUCUGCGUGUAGAUUCAACAGCAUCAGGUUGUUUAUCCGUUGUUGGGAAAGACGAUUGCGACUGGCAGAGUGUAUCCUGUUUUGCAAACUGAAUCCACGUUCAGCAUCAACGCUGCUAACUGGGAUAGCAAGUGCU